rnacentral:rRNA from 1 species
CACCAGCCCCUCGAGUGGUGGGGAUGAUUAUUUGGCCUAAAGCGUCCGUAGCCGGCCGGGUAAGUUUCCCGUUAAAUCCAGCGUCUCAAGCGUUGGACUGCGGGAAAUACUGCCUGGCUAGAGAGUGGGAGAGGUCAGCGGUAUUCUGGGGGUAGGGGCGAAAUCCUUUGAUCCCCGGAGGACCACCAGUGGCGAAGGCUGCUGACUAGAACACGUCUGACGGUCAGGGACGAAAGCUGGGGUAGCGAACCGGAUUAGAUACCCGGGUAGUCCCAGCCGUAAACGAUGCAUGCUAGGUGUUGGGUUGGCCACGAGCCACCCCAGCGCCGCAGGGAAGCCGUUAAGCAUGCCGCCUGGGAAGUACGAUCGCAAGAUUGAAACUUAAAGGAAUUGGCGGGGAGCACCACCAGGCGUGAAGCCUGCGGUUU